ACGGGGGGAGCAAGCGUUGUUCGGAUUUACUGGGCGUAAAGGGCGCGUAGGCGGCCUCCGCAAGUCAGUUGCGAAAUCUCCGAGCUUAACUCGGAAAGGUCAACUGAUACUGCGGGGCUAGAGUGCGGAAGGGGCAACUGGAAUUCUUGGUGUAGCGGUGAAAUGCGUAGAUAUCUGGAGGAACACCGGUGGCGAAGGCGGCAUCCUGGACUGUAACUGACACUGAUGAACGAAAGCCAGGGGAGCAAACGGGA
rnacentral:rRNA from 1 species